rnacentral:lncRNA from 1 species
GAAAAACUCGAUCUAUAUACAUGCACAUGCCAAGUACCGCAUAAAGCUAUUAUGAACGUUUACGUUCUCUCAUAAACUCACGUAGCUCGCUACCGCAAUUCACAGGGCUACAACUAAGAAGAGCAACGAUGAGAGCUAAACAGCAUUAAUACUUUCGACAACAGCUGGCCCAUGAAAUAACUGCAGACAAAUUACAAGUGCAUCUUUCGAAUAAAAAACAACAAAAACAAAACAAACAAACAAACAAACAAGAGAAAAAAAAGCAAAUACUAAAAAAGCGGAGAGAAAAAAACCCAAAACACUGAGAAUUUAAAAUCCAGAUACCAUACUGCUACAGUAGGGAGGUAACUAAGAAUAAUAACUACUGCUCCUGCAUGUACCAUAUCACAGGAAGGGAGGUAAGUUUGCA